rnacentral:rRNA from 1 species
GAUAAACGCUGGCGGCGUGCAUGAGACAUGCAAGUCGAACGGACGAUCUCGGGCUUGCCUGGGGUCGUUAGUGGCGAACGGCUGAGUAACGCGUGGGUGACCUGCCCGGAAGUGGGGAAUAACUGCCCGAAAGGGGUGGCUAAUACCGCAUGUGGCCAUACGUUCGGUCGUAUGACCAAAGCCGCAAGGCGCUUCCGGAGGGGCCUGCGUUCGAUUAGCUCGUUGGUGGGGUAACGGCUCACCAAGGCGACGAUCGAUAGGUGGUCUGAGAGGAUGAUCACCCAGACUGGGACUGAGACACGGCCCAGACUCCUACGGGAGGCAGCAGUCGGGAAUUUUGCUCAAUGGGCGAAAGCCUGAAGCAGCAACGCCGCGUGAGGGAUGAAGGCCUUCGGGUUGUAAACCUCUUUUCCCAGGGACGAUGAUGACGGUACCUGGGGAAUAAGCCACGGCUAACUACGUGCCAGCAGCCGCGGUAA